GCGGGUGUGGUUCAAUGGUAGAACAUUGCCCUUCCAAGGCGAAGACAGGGGUCCGAUUCCCCUCACCCGCUCCA
rnacentral:tRNA from 1 species